rnacentral:rRNA from 1 species
UACGUAGGUGGCAAGCGUUAUCCGGAAUUACUGGGCGUAAAGGGCUCGUAGGUGGCCAACUAAGUCAGACGUGAAAUCCCUCGGCUUAACCGGGGAACUGCGUCUGAUACUGGAUGGCUUGAGUUUGGGAGAGGGAUGCGGAAUUCCAGGUGUAGCGGUGAAAUGCGUAGAUAUCUGGAGGAACACCGGUGGCGAAGGCGGCAUCCUGGACCAAUACUGACACUGAGGAGCGAAAGCCAGGGGAGCAAACGGG